rnacentral:rRNA from 1 species
GACGAACGCUGGCGGCGUGCUUAACACAUGCAAGUGGAGCGACGAACCAGGGCUUGCCCUGGGGCAGAGCCGCGAACGGGUGAGUAACACGUGGGUAACGUGCCCCAAUGAUCGGGACAACCCGGGGAAACCCGGGCUAAUACCGAAUGUGCUCCCCUCACACCAGUGAGGGGUGGAAAGGAAGCUUCGGCCUCCGCAUUGGGAUCGGCCCGCGGCCCAUUAGCUUGUUGGUGAGGUAACGGCUCACCAAGGCUGCGAUGGGUAGCUGGUCUGAGAGGACGAUCAGCCACACUGGGACUGAGACACGGCCCAGACUCCUACGGGAGGCAGCAGUGGGGAAUCUUGCGCAAUGCGCGAAAGCGUGACGCAGCAACGCCGCGUGGGGGAAGAAGGCCUUCGGGUUGUAAACCCCUUUCAGGAGGGACGAAGGUUGGGCGGUGAAUAGCCGACCUGACUGACGGUACCUCCAGAAGAAGCCCCGGCUAACUACGUGCCAGCCGCCGCGGUAAUAC